GAAUAUUGGACAAUGGGGGAAACCCUGAUCCAGCGACGCCGCGUGAGUGAAGAAGUAUUUCGGUAUGUAAAGCUCUAUCAGCAGGGAAGAUAAUGACAGUACCUGACUAAGAAGCCCCGGCUAACUACGUGCCAGCAGCCGCGGUAAUACGUAGGGGGCAAGCGUUAUCCGGAUUUACUGGGUGUAAAGGGAGCGUAGGUGGCAUGGCAAGUCAGAAGUGAAAGCCCAGGGCUCAACCCUGGGACUGCUUUUGAAACUGUCAAGCUAGAGUGCAGGAGAGGUAAGUGGAAUUCCUAGUGUAGCGGUGAAAUGCGUAGAUAUUAGGAGGGACACCAGUGGCGAAGGCGGCUUACUGGACUGUAACUGACACUGAGGCUCGAAAGCGUGGGGAGCAAAC
rnacentral:rRNA from 1 species